rnacentral:rRNA from 1 species
GAUGAACGCUGGCGGCGUGCCUAAUACAUGCAAGUCGAGCGAACAGACGAGGAGCUUGCUCCUCUGACGUUAGCGGCGGACGGGUGAGUAACACGUGGAUAACCUACCUAUAAGACUGGGAUAACUUCGGGAAACCGGAGCUAAUACCGGAUAAUAUAUUGAACCGCAUGGUUCAAUAGUGAAAGACGGUUUUGCUGUCACUUAUAGAUGGAUCCGCGCCGCAUUAGCUAGUUGGUAAGGUAACGGCUUACCAAGGCAACGAUGCGUAGCCGACCUGAGAGGGUGAUCGGCCAAACUGGAACUUAGACACGGUCCAGACUCCUACGGGAGGCAGCAGUAGGAAAUCUUCCGCAAGGGGCGAAAGCCUGACGGAGCAACGCCGCGUGAGUGAUGAAGGUCUUCGGAUCGUAAAACUCUGUUAUUAGGGAAGAACAAAUGUGUAAGUAACUAUGCACGUCUUGACGGUACCUAAUCAGAAAGCCACGGCUAACUACGUG